CAUUUCGAACACGGAAGUUAAGCUCUCCAGCGCCGAGGAUACUGUGUGAAGAUUAACACAUGGGAGAGUAGGUCGCCGCCAGGG
rnacentral:rRNA from 1 species